UUUUCUUUGGAGAAAUCCUUGAUCCUGGAGGUGAAUGCAUUCUUUCUGCUCACAUUUCUCUGCAAUGCUGAUUCUAACAUUGUUUUCUUUAAAUCCCUCAAUCACCUUCAACACAUGCCUCCCAUCCCCACAGCUACAUUUCCACUUUCUAGCCCCACAGUCCCACUCUCUAAAGCCUACUCCUUAACUCAAAGUUCCAUUCCCG